rnacentral:rRNA from 1 species
GACGAACGCUGGCGGCGUGCUUAACACAUGCAAGUCGAACGGAAAGGCCCUGCUUUUGUGGGGUGCUCGAGUGGCGAACGGGUGAGUAACACGUGAGUAACCUGCCCUUGACUUUGGGAUAACUUCAGGAAACUGGGGCUAAUCCCGGAUAGGAGCUCCUGCUGCAUGGUGGGGGUUGGAAAGUUUCGGCGGUUGGGGAUGGACGCGCGGCUUAUCAGCUUGUUGGUGGGGUAGUGGCUUACCAAGGCUUUGACGGGUAGCCGGCCUGAGAGGGUGACCGGCCACAUGGGGACUGAGAUACGGCCCAGACUCCUACGGGAGGCAGCAGUGGGGAAUAUUGCACAAUGGGCGGAAGCCUGAUGCAGCAACGCCGCGUGCGGGAUGACGGCCUUCGGGUUGUAAACCGCUUUCGCCUGUGACGAAGCGUGAGUGACGGUAAUGGGUAAAGAAGCACCGGCUAACUACGUG